rnacentral:rRNA from 1 species
GGCUUCGGCCCGCUGACGAGUGGCGAACGGGUGAGUAAUGCGUCGGAACGCACCGAGUAAUGGGGGAUAACGCAGCGAAAGCUGUGCUAAUACCGCAUACGCUCCGAGGAGGAAAGCAGGGGAUCGUAAGACCUUGCGUUAUUCGAGCGGCCGACGUCUGAUUAGCUAGUUGGUGGGGUAAAGGCCCACCAAGGCUUCGAUCAGUAGCGGGUCUGAGAGGAUGAUCCGCCACACUGGGACUGAGACACGGCCCAGACUCCUACGGGAGGCAGCAGUGGGGAAUUUUGGACAAUGGGCGCAAGCCUGAUCCAGCCAUGCCGCGUGUCUGAAGAAGGCCUUCGGGUUGUAAAGGACUUUUGUCCGGGAGCAAAUGCCGGUGGCUAAUAUCCACUGGAGCUGA